AGUGAACGCUGGCGGCGUGCCUAAUACAUGCAAGUCGAACGGAGUGGCGCACGGGUGAGUAAUAUAUAGCUAAUCUGCCCCUUGCUGGAGGGCAACAGUUAGGAAUGACUGCUAAUACUCCAUAGGAAGUGAUGAGGCUAUAACGUAUAAGCUAGUCGGUGGGGUAACGACCUACCGAGGAAAUGACGCGUAACUGGUCGGAUAGGAUGAGCAGGCACAUUGGAACUGAGAGACGGUUCAAACUCCUAUGGGAGGCAGCCGUAGGGAAGAUUGCGCAAUGGGGGAAACCCUAACGCAGCAACGCCGCGUGGAGGAUGCCACUUUUCGGAGCGUAAACUCCUUUUGUUAGGGAAGCGGUACCUAACGAAUAAGCACCGGCUAACUCCGUGCCAGCAGCCGCGGUAAUUC
rnacentral:rRNA from 1 species